GACGAACGCUGGCGGCGUGCUUAACACAUGCAAGUCGAACGCUGAAGCCCUUUCGGGGGUGGAUGAGUGGCGAACGGGUGAGUAACACGUGGGUAAUCUGCCCUGUACUUCGGGAUAAGCCUUGGAAACGGGGUCUAAUACCGGAUAGGACCUGUCCUCGCAUGGGGGUGGGUGGAAAGUUCCGGCGGUAUGGGAUGAGCCCGCGGCCUAUCAGCUUGUUGGUGGGGUAGUGGCCUACCAAGGCGACGACGGGUAGCCGGCCUGAGAGGGUGGCCGGUCACACUGGGACUGAGACACGGCCCAGACUCCUACGGGAGGCAGCAGUGGGGAAUCUUGCGCAAUGGGCGAAAGCCUGACGCAGCAACGCCGCGUGGGGGAUGACGGCCUUCGGGUUGUAAACCUCUUUCGACAUCGACGAAGGGGCCCUGUUGUGGGGUUUCGACGGUAGGUGUAGAAUAAGCACCGGCUAACUACGUGCCAGCCGCCGCCGUAA
rnacentral:rRNA from 1 species